rnacentral:lncRNA from 1 species
AUAUAUUGCAAAUCUCCAUGGGAGGGUAUACCGUAUGAUACAUAUCAAUUCUCAAGUUUAUUUGUCUAAAGACUCUUGUGUAUUUCACAAAACAUCUAUAAUUUCUCAUGGACAUUAGCAUUCUGCAAAAACAUUACUAAGUCAAACCCAAUAGCUUGAGAUACAAGGCCUUCUAUGAGAUAAACUGCUUAAUUCUCCCAUCUCACUUACCUUCUAUCAAACACGCAUCCCAUUUUCCCAUGCUACAAAACUGGUUACAGUUUUCUAACAUAUCAUCAAUUUUUUCAUAGUUAUAUGUUGCUAAUAAUGCUUCCCCUUCUGCCUGAAAUUCGACUUCCUUUCAUCUGCCUUAUAAAAUUAUAUUCAUUCUUCAAGGCACUGCUCAAAUGUUUCUCCCUCUUUGGACCUUUCUGUGUCCUAUCCCAAAAAAAUUAUGAACUCUUUUCUGUGGUUCUCAUCCCUCUCCUCUCUUUCUCUCUCUGUCUCUCUCUUUCUCUCUCUCUUUCUCUUGAUCUGCCUAUAUACACACAUACACAAUACAUAUACUUUAAUAUAUAUGCAGUUUUAUAUAUAAUCUAUAUAAAAUAUGGUAUUUAAUAUUAUAUUAAAGAUGAGUGAGAUAGAAAUAAACACAUAAAGAGACAAACAUAAAUGAAAACAUGUUAUAUAUGGAUGUUCAUCAUAAUAUUUUUCACUUAUGUGUUUACUUAUGCUUUCUUCACUGAACAAUGGAUUCCUUAAAGGCAGUGACUAUGUCUAAUUUCUCUCUUAACCUCUCUAUUCACAUAAUCUAAUGAAAUGCAUAGCAUUCAAUGUCUGCUAAGGGCAUGUUCAAAUGAAUUCACUCAUCUCGCUUAUAGCUGAAGUCCAGGCCAUCCCACCACUCAAGAUGAACUUGUGUGCUUUUGCACAAAUGCAGUUCUGCCUGCUGAUCUCCCUCUGGUGGGAGCUUCACUUUGCCAAGGACACUGGUCCAGAACCACUAUGUAAGAUUCAAAAUAGAUAUCAUGGUAAUGGAUAUAGUCUGGCUCUUGCUCUACUCUCCAAGCCAUGAUUCUGGCAUGGACUGUGCUAUCCUGGAAGAAGAAGCUUCUUUUUGUGUUCUCACAAAGCAUGCAUGAAUGAUGACAGCCAUGCACCAGGCCAUCCAGAAACUAUUGGUUCCCUGUUACUCCUGUUAGUGUAUUUGGUACUGCCAGUGUACUCUGCUACUCUCACCUAAAUAAAUCUCCCCAGGAUCUGUGAAUAAGAUGCUGAUAGGAUUUUCCAACAGGAACAUUUCCCCAAGAUGUUCAUGCUAGAGCAGGUCUCAGAUAUGGGUUAUUAUUCAAUGACACAUUUGGGCAAGGGAGAAUAACAAAACCUAAUCACAAAUGUUCAUCACUGAUCUCUAUGGUAAUUGUCAAAUUUAAAGAUGGAGGCAAGGGUGAACUGCCUUUAAUGCUGAAAGCUGCCUGUGCCACACUAAAGUUCUUGUAGUGCCAGAAUGGAUACAUCACCACAGAACCUGAUAUAUCACAGAAUUGUAGUCCAAUGCAAUCAUACAAUAUGGAGACAGAGACCUGAUUACCAGGUGACAUAGCAUUUGGGCUGGUUGGCCUAAGAAGGUAGAGAUUGUCCUCAAUAAGGUGGAGAAAUGUAAAUACACUAGUAUAUAAGAUGAUAGGCUUCCACUACAGAAAGUGAACUUAUUUAGAGAAUAGCUCUCCUUGCUGAGUUGUGAAACCAGCUAUCUUCAAAGUUCCUGGGUCAACAACCGUGAAUGCCUAGGCACUGAGUAAGAUGAUGGAGGAUUAGCCACUGGACCAGGGGAGUGAUAACUAAAACCACUUUCAGGAUUGAUCCCAUCCACUGGCCUACAGUAAAAAGCUUCAGGCUUGAUAUAAGUGAAGUGUAGAAAAAUAUCUUUAAAACAAAUAAUGGUUUCCCAUAAUAUGCCAUUAUUUUAAAACUUUUAAUAUUUUGACAUCUUUUAUUUAUUAUCAUUAUUGUUUACAUGGAAUAAAAAAUUCUUAUUUUUAUGAAAAUAGAUUCAAACUGUAUAUAAUUAUGUGAAUUAUGUGUCUUGACUUUUAAUUUAAAAUAUAUAAUGAACACCUUUCUAGGCCAGUGUGUGUAUGCAUAUGAGAGUGGGGCAGGUGUAUACAUUAGCACAUAUAUAUAUACAAUUAUACAUAAAAUUUGUUUUUUAUAUAAUUAAUCCAAUUUAUUUUCACUUACUUUUUAAACAGAUUUAUUGAGGCUCAAUUAACAAACAGUAGACUGAACCUAUUGAAUGCAUACAUUUGUGAGUUUUGACAUGUAUGCACACUCACACUUAAUGUGAAACCAUAACCACACUACACACUACAAUAAAUGUGUUCAUUAUCCUGUUUCCUUAUGCCCUUCUUAAUCUUCCUCUCCUAUUCCAGCCCCUGCCAUUCUCAAACAACCACUGGUCUGCUUGAUGUCAUUAUAAGUACAUUUUUAUUUCCUAGAAUUGUUGUAAGUAGAAUAGUAUAAUACUUAUGCUUUUCUGUUUCAUUUUGUUCACUCAUCAUAAACGCUGUUUUUUUGUUUGUUUGUUUGUUUUUGUUUUGUUUUGUUUUGUUUUUUGAGAUUGAGAGUUUUGCUCUCAUCACCCAGGCUGGAGUGCAGUGGCAUGAUCUCAGCUCAUUGCAACCUCCACCUCCCGGGUUCAAGAAACUCUCCUGCCUCAGCCUCCUGAGCUGGGAUUACAGGCAUGGGACACUACGCCACUACGCCUGGCUAAUUUUUGUAUUUUUAGUAGAGAUGGUGUUUCACCAUGUUGGCCAGGCUGGUCUCAAACUCCUGACCUCAAGUGAUCUGCCAGCCUCAGCCUUCCAAAGUGCUGGGAUUACAGGCGUGAGCCACUGCACCCGGAUAUGAACGCUUUUAAAUUUAUCCAUGUUGUUGCAUGUAUCAAUAGGUUGUUCCUUUUUAUUGUUGACUGUUAUUCUAUUGCAUGCUUGUAACACAGUUUUUUUACACAUUCAUACAUUUAAAUUAUUUGGCUAUCACAAAUUAAGAUAUUAUAAACAUCCAUUUGUAAGUUUUAUAUGGACAUAUGCUCUAUUUACUUAGGAGUACUGUGGCUGGACCAUAUGGCAAAAAUAUUUAAAGUUCUUGAAAAACUAUAAAAUUGCUUUUCAAAAUGACUGUAUCAUUUUAAAUUCCCACAAGCAGUGUAUGAGUGCUUCAGUUGCCGACAAAGCCUCACCAACAAUUGGUAUAACCAGCCUUUUUAAAUUUAGCCUUUCUAAUAAGUAGGAGUAAUAUCUUAUUGUGGUUUUAAUUUGCAUUUCGCUGAAGACUAAUGGUGUUUAGAGUAUAUUCAUGUACUUUAUUUGCUAUUCAUAUGUCUUGUUUGUUUGUUUGGUAAAGAGUCUGUUCGUAUCUUCUGCUUUUGUUAUUGUCUUCAUUGUUUUCUUAUUAUUGGGUUUUGAGACUUAUUUAUGUGUAAUGAAUACAAGUCCUUUAUCAGAUACAAGAUUUUCAAAUAUUUUCUCAUAGUCUGUGGUUGUCAUUUCAUUAUCUUUACAGUAGCUUUAGAAAAUCAGUACUUGUUGAUUCUGAUGAAGUCCAAUUUAUCAACUCUUUUUCUCUUCUAUUGCACUUUUGGAGUUGUAUCUAAAAAAUUCUGUCUAACCCAAUGUCACAAACAUAAUCUCCUAAGUUUUCUUCUAAAAGAUUUAACGUUUCAGGUUUUACAUUUAGGUCCAUAAUCAAUUUGUGUUAGUGUUUGUCUAUUUGUGUCUAUGGUGUUAGGGAUGGUUUGAAUUUCAUUAUUUGCAUAAGGAUUCCAGUAGUUCUUAUGUAACUGCUGAAGACUGUCCUUUCUCCACUGAAUGGCCUUUGCAUCUUUGUCAAAUAUAAAUUGACUGUAUAUGUGUGGAUCUAAUUCCAGAUCCUAGUUAGUUCCAUUGAUCUGUAUAACUUAAUAACUUAGCGUAAAUACUACACUGUCUUGAUUAAUGUAGCUUGAUAAUAAAUCUUGAACUCAGAU